CCGGCCCCACUCCCCAGGCCCCCGGCCCCAUAGGCCUCUAGCCACAGCCUGGCUGCUGUCCUCAUGUCCUUGGCUCUGGCCUGGUGAAGGCCAAGGGCACUUCAGAACCUCCCUGUGCCUCCAUGUGCCAGGUUGGGGCUGGGCACGAGGCCACAGCAGGGGCUGGCAGGUGGUGACCUCUGCUCCUCGACCUGGGAUGCUCCAGGUUGAGACGUAGGGUAGCUGCAGUCCCAGCAAUGACAAGCUCUGGGUAACCCUGGAAAGUAAUAGAUUCCGGCCAGGCAUGGUGGCUUAUGCCUGCAAUCCCAGCACUUUGGGAGGUGGAGGUGGGAGAAUCACCUGAGCUCAGGAGUUCAAGACCAGCCUGGCCAAUACAGUGAGAUCCUGUCUCUAUCUAAAAAAAAUUUUUUUUAAGUAAAUAAAAAAAGAAAGUAAAGA
rnacentral:lncRNA from 10 species